rnacentral:rRNA from 1 species
AAAGUCGUAACAAGGUUUCCGUAGGUGAACCUGCGGAAGGAUCAUUAAUGAAUGAACUUGAAUGGAGUUGUAGCUGGCUUCAGCAAUGGGGCAUGUGCACACUCUGUUCAUCCACCUUCACACCUCUGUGCACUUCUCAUGGGUUGGGUUGCGCCUGAAAUAUGGCAAGGCUCUUCUCAUGUGCUCACACACACUUUAAAAGUUUAUAGAAUGUAACAAACGUGCAUUAAUGCAUAUAAUACAACUUUCAGCAACGGAUCUCUUGGCUCUCGCAUCGAUGAAGAACGCAGCGAAAUGCGAUAAGUAAUGUGAAUUGCAGAAUUCAGUGAAUCAUCGAAUCUUUGAACGCACCUUGCGCUCCUUGGUAUUCCGAGGAGCAUGCCUGUUUGAGUGUCAUGGUAUUCUCAACCCUCCUGUGAUUUCUUUUUAAAGAUUGCAGCUGGGCUUGGACUUGGAGGUUUAUUGCUGGCAUCCUUUGUUGGAUGUGGGCUCCUCUGAAAAGCAUUAGCUGGAAUAUUGCCGAGCAUGAUUCAAUGUGAUAAUUGUCUACGUUGCUUCAACUUGGUGUUAAUUCUGUUCUAGCUUCUAAACGUCCUCUGGACAAUAUCUGAACAUCUGACCUCAAAUCAGGUAGGACUACCCGCUGAACUUAAGCAUAUCAAUAAGCGGAGGAAAAGAAACUAACAAGGAUUCCCCUAGUAACUGCGAGUGAAGCGGGAAAAGCUCAAAUUUAAAAUCUGGCAGCUUUGGCUGUCCGAGU